GGGAGGUCACAUACCGAAAGGGGCAGGUCCUUGGUGAGCCUGAUGAUUUGCUGUACCAUGAAAGUGUUGAUGUCUGCGAAAUGUGUGAGCAGAGGCAGUGCAGGGAACUGGGUGGACAGUGCUGGUGAUGGAGGAACAGAUGAGCUGGAGGCUGCAGAGGUCAGAGCCUGGUUUCCUUUCCACUGCUCCAUAUUGAGAAGCAGUGUGACGUCAUGGAGAAAGCAAGGGUCUGGUGAAUACUGACUCUACAACUUUUCAGCCGAGUGGACUUGGACAAGUUGAUUUCUGUUACUUUAAGUUGAAUAUGAGUUACAUUAUCUUUUGGGGGCAGAGCCUUAUUACCUGGCACAGAGAAAAAAACGUUAAAUAAUUCAACAAUUAUCAAGUACCUACUAAGUGACAGGCACUAUAUUUGAGAGAUGGAAGAGUAAAAUCAAGCCAUAUAAAUAUCUAAGGGAAGAGCAUUCCAGGUAGAGGCAAUGGCGAGUGCAAGUAUAAGUUACAACAGUCUUGAGAAGAGUGUGCUUGGUGUGUUUGAGAAUGGCAUUGACGUCAGUGUGGCUGGGAUGGGUUGAGCAAGGGGAAGAGUCGGAAGUGAAAUCUGAGAGGUGGUAUGGAGGAGCUGGCCCAUGAGAUCAUGGACCAUAAGAGGGAGGAGGAGCCCUUGGAGGUUUUGAGCAGAAUAGUGACAUUGUCUGACUUGUUUCACAAAGCUUACUCUGCCUGCCCUGUGGAGAAUACGCUGUGGGAACAAGGGCAAAGCAUAGUCAGUGGAGGAACAUAGUGGAUUCUCGGGAUGGAAAAGGGCCAACUCACUGUCCUUCUUCAUGCCAGCAUCUAGGCACUUCUGCAACCUGCAGGCUGGGCCUUGUUGACCUUCCAGCUUCCAGCAAAGGGGCACGUGAGACCUGUGCUUUUGCAGACUGUUUGCCUGAGAAGACAGAGACAUUGUGAGGGUUGGGGAUGGCAGCGAGCAGCGCUGUUUACAAUAGCCAAGGCAUGGAAGCAACCUAAAUGUCCAUCGACAGACGAAUGGAUAAAGAUGUGGUACAUAUAUACAAUGGAAUAUUACUCAGCCAUUAAAAAGAAUGAAAUAAUGCCAUUUGCAGCAACACGGAUGGACCUGGAGAUUAUCAUACUGAGUGAAGUAAGUCAGACAGAGAAAGACAAAUAUGAUAUCGCUUCCAUAUGGAAUCCAAAAAAUGAUGCAAAUGAACUUAUUUACAAAACAGAAACAGACUCACAGACAGAAAACAAACUUACGGUUACCAAAGGGGAAAGAUGGGAGGGAAGGAUAAAUUGGGAGUUUGGGAUUGACAGGUACACUCUACUAUAUUUAAAAUAAAUAACCAACAAGGACCUACUAUAUAGCACAGGGAACUCUGCUCAGUAUUCUGUAAUCAGCUAAAUGGGAAAAGAAUUUGAAAAAGAAUUGAUAUAUGUAUAUGUAUAACUGAAUCACUUUGCUGUACACCUGAAACCAACACAACAUUGUAAAUCAACUAUAG